GUAAUCACUUGUCUUCUAAAUAAAGACCUGUAUGAACGGCUAAAUGAGGACAAACCUGUCUCUUAUAACCAAUCAGUGAAACUGAUCCACCAGUACAAAAGCUGGUAUAAUAACAUAAGACGAGAAGACCCUGUGGAGCUUAAGACAAACACUAUUUACCAGAUAUAGUUGAAGUCUUCAGUUGGGGCGACUUCUGAACAAAACAAAACUUCCGAGCAGAGAUCCACACCCUCUUACUAAGGCAAACGAGCCUAAAGAAGAACUGACCCGGCCACGCCGAUCGACUAACCAAGUUACCCCAUGGAUAACAGCGCUAUCUUCUUUGAGAGUCCCUAUCGACAAGAAGGUUUACUACCUCUAUUUUGGAUCAUGACACCCAGGUGGUGCAUCCGCUACCAAAGGUUCGUUUGUUCAACGAUUAACAUU
rnacentral:rRNA from 1 species